GACGAACGCUGGCGGCGUGAUUAAUACAUGCAAGUCGAACGGAAAGGCCCUGCUUUUGUGGGGUGCUCGAGUGGCGAACGGGUGAGUAACACGUGAGUAACCUGCCCUUGACUUUGGGAUAACUUCAGGAAACUGGGGCUAAUACCGGAUAGGAGCUCCUGCUGCAUGGUGGGGGUUGGAAAGUUUCGGCGGUUGGGGAUGGACUCGCGGCUUAUCAGCUUGUUGGUGGGGUAGUGGCUUACCAAGGCUUUGACGGGUAGCCGGCCUGAGAGGGUGACCGGCCACAUUGGGACUGAGAUACGGCCCAGACUCCUACGGGAGGCAGCAGUGGGGAAUAUUGCACAAUGGGCGGAAGCCUGAUGCAGCAACGCCGCGUGCGGGAUGACGGCCUUCGGGUUGUAAACCGCUUUCGCCUGUGACGAAGCGUGAGUGACGGUAAUGGGUAAAGAAGCACCGGCUAACUACGUG
rnacentral:rRNA from 1 species